GCCAGUCACAUUGUUCGAUGUAAGGGUUGUACAGCAAGUCUCCGUAGCAGUAAAGGGAGACUGGUUUUCCGUGGUUACAUUUAUAGAACUUGUUGCAGAUUUCGUGUGCCACUAAAACACCAUCUGAUCCGUCCGCUGCGCAAAUAGAAGGUGCCUCCUCGGGUCUGCAGUUGCAGGUUCCGCUGCCUGGAGUGGAUGGUGAUGGAGUGGGAGUUGGAUUCGGGGAUCCUGUUGGAGAUGUAGUUGGAUCCGGGGAUGGUCCUGGAGGUGGAGUUUGGCUUGUGUCUGGAAUAACUCUGUCUCCGCAGUCAACAUUCUCUGGCCAGUCGCAUUGUUCGAUGUAAGGGUUGUACAGCAAGUUUCCGGGACAGGACAGAGCAACUGGUUUUCCGUGGACGCAUAUGUAGAACUGGUUGCAGUUUUCAUUUGCCACUAAAACACCAUCUGAUCCAUCCGCUGCGCAAAUAGAAGGUGCCUCCUCGGGUCUGCAGUUGCAGGUUCCGCUGCCUGGAGUGGAUGGUGAUGGAGUGGGAGUUGGAUUCGGGGAUCCUGUUGGAGAUGUAGUUGGAUCCGGGGAUGGUCCUGGAGGUGGAGUUUGGCUUGUGUCUGGAAUAACUCUGUCUCCGCAGUCAACAUUCUCUGGCCAGUCGCAUUGUUCGAUGUAAGGGUUGUACAGCAAGUUUCCGGGACAGGACAGAGCAACUGGUUUUCCGUGGACGCAUAUGUAGAACUGGUUGCAGUUUUCAUUUGCCACUAAAACACCAUCUGAUCCAUCCGCUGCGCAAAUAGAAGGUGCCUCCUCGGGUCUGCAGUUGCAGGUUCCGCUGCCUGGAGUGGAUGGUGAUGGAGUGGGAGUUGGAUUCGGGGAUCCUGUUGGAGAUGUAGUUGGAUCCGGGGAUGGUCCUGGAGGUGGAGUUUGGCUUGUGUCUGGAAUAACUCUGUCUCCGCAGUCCACAUUCUCUGGCCAGUCGCAUUGUUCGAUGUAAGGGUUGUACAGCAAGUUUCCGGGACAGGACAGAGCAACUGGUUUUCCGUGGUCACAUAUGUAGAACUGGUUGCAGUUUUCGUUUGCCACUAAAACACCAUCUGAUCCGUCCGCUGCGCAAAUAGAAGGUGCCUCCUCGGGUCUGCAGUUGCAGGUUCCGCUGCCUGGAGUGGAUGGAGAUGGAGUUGGUCCCGGGGUUGGUCCUGGAGUUGGAGUUUGACCUGGAUCUGGAAUGAGUCUGUCUCCACAGUCCACAUUCUCGGGCCAGUCGCAUUGUUCGGUGUAGGGAUUGUACAGCAAGUUUCCGAAGCAGUAGAGAGCGACUGGUUUUCCGUUGUCACAUUUGUAGAACUGGUUGCAGUUUUCAUGUGCCACUAAAACACCGUCUGAUCCAUCUACUGCACAAAUAGAAGGUGCCUCAUCGGGUCUGCAGUUGCAGGUUCCGCUGCCUGGAGUGGAUGGAGAUGGAGUUGGGCUGGGGGGUGGAAUUGGAGUUUGACCUGGAUCUGGAAUGACUCUGUCUCCGCAAUCCACAUUUUCGGGCCAGUCACAUUGGUCCUUGCUAGGAUUGAACAGCAGAUUUCCAGGGCAGGUUUGUGCUACGGGUUUGCUUCCAGAA